GUAUCUUUAAUAAGUACUGGAUAUUCAUCAGUUUUUAUGUUUGUGUUUUUACAUAUUAUAUAUUUUCCAUCAUUUUUCUCUUGUCAUUGACUCAUGGAAUUAAGAUUAUACCCAUAUCAGCUUGUUUCUAUCUUCCAGUUUUCUGUUCCAUGGAAAACAAGAAAUAAAUGGCCCACUCCAAUUAGAAAAAUUCAAAGAGAAUGAGGCUGUAUAUAAAGUGUCUAUUUGAAAGCUGGACAGAUGAAGGCAGACCAGGGUACACGCAGCAACCAAAUCUAAGCAGUAGCAAACCUGUUAACAUCCUAGGUCCUAAGGAACAAGGAGAUGGGGGGAGGUUCCAACCCUUGGAGAGACAUCUGUAUAUUGCAGUCUGCCUUGUGAUAAGCAAUGACUUUCUGUGGAAGAAUAAAACUGGAAUGAGUCACUGUGCAGAGAGAAAUCAGAUGAUUAACUAUCUUUCCAUCUUUCUUCUUCCCCCACCUCCACCAUCUUCUGUCAAGUCUCCACCCUGACUGGCUCCAGCUAAAAGCAGAGGGCAUGGGACAUGGUCCUUACAAGUCAGCCUGGCACGGGCAACAAGGGUGGAGUUUCUCCUGACUCUCUCAUGCUUGUGGGUUUGUUUGUUUUUUUGUUUUUUUUUUUAUUGUGGCUUGUGUUCCUUGAAAUAUUAACUGUAGGAGUCAUUUGAGCCUGCAUUUAAAUUCCUUUCUUCCAGAUUAAGUUUGUCCUUGCUUUACCUAGGUGACAAUCUACCUUUUUUGGGGGGGAGGGGGGAGAACUUCUAUGGCCUGAAUAUUUAUAUCCCCCCCAAAUUUGUAUGCUGAAGUUUUAACCCCCAAAGGUGUUGGGAUUAGUAGAUGGGGCCUUUGGUUUGGAAGGUGUUUAAGUCUGGAGGGUAGAGACUUCAUAAAUGGGAUUAGUGCCUUAUUAAAGAGGCUCCAAAGAGAUUCCUUGCCUCCUGGUGCCAUGUGAAGAUACAAUGGUAAGUCUGUGACCUGGAAGAUGGCCUUUACCCACCCAUGCCAGCGCCCUGAUCUCAGACCCCCAGCUUCCAGAACUGUGAGUCAUAAAUUUCUGCUGUUUAUUAGAAGUCCCCCAGUCUGGGGUAUUUUGCUAUAGCAGCUUGGACAGACUAAGAAAAUUGGUGCCAAGAGUGUGGUUGCUGCUAUCACAAAUACCUAAAAAUGUACAAGUGGCUUUGGCGCUCUAUUAUGGGCAGCGCCUGAAGAGGCAUGUUUGGAAAAGCCUAUGCUGCUUUGAAUGAACUCUUAAAGGUAAAGCUGGGGAGGGCUCAGAAAAGGAGAGCUGUAGAGAAAGCCUCAAUCUAUAAGAGAAUAUCUAAGUGCUCAUGAAAAAGAUGUUGGGGGGAAAUAGUAAUGGUAAGGGCUAUUUUGAUGAGGUCUCAGAUGGCAGGAAGGAACAUGUUAUUGGCACCUGGAAGAAAGACAAUCCUUGUUAUCAAGUGACAAGGAGCUUGGCUGAAUUGUGCCGUGUCCUCGUGUUUGGGAAAAGGUAGAACUGUGAGCGAUGAAAUUGGAUAUCUGGCUGAAACUACUUCCAAGCAAAGUGUUGAAGGAACAGCUUGGCUUCUUUUGAAUGUUUACAGUCAAAUUUAAGAAGCAAGAAAUGAUUUGGAGACAGAGUGGUUAAUCAAAAAGGAAACAACACUUAAAUAUUUGGAAAAUUCUCAGCCUAUCCAGAAGAAGAAACCACGCUCAUCAGAGAACACAAGGGUUGUGGCCAAGUUGGAUAGAGAUUGGUGUACAUCCAUCAUAUCAAUGGAAACUAGGAGUUAUUCAUCAAGAUGGUGGGGAGAUUGGUUUAGAUGUUGAUCUAAACAAGCCAAAACCUACUUUCUAAGGCAAUGAAAGCAUGACCCUGAAGGCAUUUCAGAGAUCUUCUGGGCUGGCCCUCACACUACCCAUCUGUAGAGAAGAGUAGAAGGCACCUGCAGGGGGAAAAAAAAAAAAGGCAAAGGAAGAACCUCUACUGUCCAGGGCCACCUCACGUCCUGGGUUCAGCUCCAGAAUUUCAAUUGUGGCACAAAAAUCCUCAACUGUCCCGGGUUCGACACCCACGAUGUGGCUGCACCUCCAGGGGGCACCUUCUCCACCACCCUGUGGAGCCCAAGAGCCCUGAAGCUACAACUGCCUCCACCUGGAUUUCAAAGUGUCCUUGAGAGCCUCCACCCAGGCAGAGACCUGCUCUGGGGGCAAGACUAUUGCAGAGCCCCCGGUGGGGUAUUGCCCACCGAGGCCAUGGGAGCAGGGCACAGUCCCCAUGAACCCUACCCACAUUGGUAGAUCUGUUGGCCUGCGAUUCCAGCCAACUGCAAUUCUGGGGGCUCAGCUGCAAUGUGGGGCACGGAGCCAAGGGGUUUUAGCAUUGUUUGCCUCAUUAGGUUUUGGUCUCCCUUUAGACCUGUUGCUGCCAUCCCCCUUCUGAGUGGCUUCGCUGUCUCCGCUUUGCUCCACCGUUUUGGAGCUGUAUGCACCUGGAAACAGUGCUCCUCCUUCUGACAAAUAAAUGAUCAGAAGAUCAAGAGUCUCCUAACGCUACGUCACAAUGUGUCAUUCACUUCACUUCAUCUCUUCAUUCUGCAUUUCAUCAUCUCAAGGCAUCGCAAGAGGGAGGACUUUUGCCUGACAGCUAUGUAGAGCCCCGAAACAGGUGCAUUUAUUACCCAUCCGUCUCCAUCCCUUUUACCAAAACAGAGGAAGGUAGACAGGUGACCUGAUACAGCAGAAAGAAGACCGCUCAGAUGUCAAGACAAGUCUGAGUAGGUUUGCAGGAUUUGUAAGAAGAUGCAAAAGUAACCAUUGUACGUCUCAAGGAUUAUCAAAGGGAAAGGGAUCUCCGUGAAGCUGCUCAACUCCUAAAACUGUCAUUAUCUCACCUGUACAUCGUGUGAUGGUUUAAAUAGUAGAUGAGUGCCUGGACUACUGGAACCAUCUAUUGUAUACCAAUCCACAAUGGGAGGCCUGUUUUGUCAUGUAUCUGUGCAUCAUACUUAUACCCUCUUUGGCACUGUGGACUCCUGCCUUGACAGGGGGAAAAUUAGAAGCAAUGAAUAAACCAGUGGAAAAACUUCAGAGAAAUGAAUGAUAAGUUUUGUUUUCCUAUAAUCUUUGUUUCAAAAUAUCCUUCAUACCAUGAACUUCAGUGAAAUAUAUGUCGGUUCCUGUGCUGAUGUAUGAAUACACCCACAGCAGAUUGCACAUACAAAACCUCGGUCAACAAAUAGAGAAUGGUUUCAUUGUCUGCAGUAGCAUUCCCUGAUUGGAAACAGUCCCUUGGGUAUUCAUUACUGAAGAUAAAUCCCACCCCUUGAAACUGCGGCCACCUCGCUCAUGAUACCAGACAAGACAUUGCUGGUGAAUCCAUUUGUUCUUCUCAGCUUUAGACCAACACAGGUGAUUAACCAGGUAAAGCUCUUACUCUUCCUUUU